rnacentral:rRNA from 1 species
AGGUACGAUCAUACCAGCACUAAUGUACCGGAACCCAUUAGAACUCCGAAGUUAAGCGUGCUUUGAUGAGAAUAGUACUAAGAUGGACUUUUUCACAGGACUUC